AUGGAAGAGCACACCAAGGCCUUGGCCGAGCUGACGGCAGCCAUCUCGACGCUCACGAGCAAGAUCGACGAGAUCCAUCCGGUGGUUCUGGAGCUACAAGGGUGGAAGCCGACAAUCGAGCGGUCUGUGGAGGACUUGCGGGCGGAAGUGGGUGAUUUGCGCUCGCAUCUAGUGCAAGUGGCGCCGGAGGAGGCUCACGUGGCUCCAGGGGCGGACAAGGCGAAGGAGGUGGUGCGGCCGACCCGGCUGUCUGACCUGCCUCCUCUGCUUCCUGCGGCGGCCAACGCGUCGCGCACCACCAUUGCCGAGUCAUCUUGGGCUCGCGGUGACCACGGUCACGGGCAUCCAGGCCACGGCAUCAACAUCACUAACCGGGGGACGUCUCCGGGUGAUCAUACCCAGGGGCCACCUCCGGUCACUGGUAUGUGA
rnacentral:rRNA from 1 species